rnacentral:rRNA from 1 species
GAUGAACGCUGGCGGCGUGCUUAACACAUGCAAGUCGAACGGAAAGGCCCAAGCUUGCUUGGGUACUCGAGUGGCGAACGGGUGAGUAACACGUGGGUGAUCUGCCCUGCACUUCGGGAUAAGCCUGGGAAACUGGGUCUAAUACCGGAUAGGACCACAUUUUGGAUGGUGUGGUGGAAAGUUUUUCGGUGUGGGAUGAGCUCGCGGCCUAUCAGCUUGUUGGUGGGGUAAUGGCCUACCAAGGCGUCGACGGGUAGCCGGCCUGAGAGGGUGUACGGCCACAUUGAGACUGAGAUACGGCCCAGACUCCUACGGGAGGCAGCAGUGGGGAAUAUUGCACAAUGGGCGCAAGCCUGAUGCAGCGACGCCGCGUGGGGGAUGACGGCCUUCGGGUUGUAAACUCCUUUCGCUAGGGACGAAGCGUUAUGUGACGGUACCUGGAGAAGAAGCACCGGCUAACUACGUG